GCCGCUCCAGCGCUGGAUUGUCGCCUAGGAUUGUGAUUCCUGUUGUCGUGGGUUCGAGCCCCAUCAGCCACCCCA
rnacentral:tRNA from 1 species